GCUGGCGCCUUGAUCAUGGACUCCUGGGCUCCGGAACUGUAAGAAAAUUUGUGUUGUGGAAGCCACCCAGCCCAUGGUAUUUCGUUAUGGCAGCCUGAGCAGAGGUGGUAGCUAUGUGGACAGUUUUUGGACUUCUCUAUUUGCCACAUUAUAUGAAUAUAUUAUGCUGCUUUGUCACAUGCUGUAAGAAAAGUAACUGCUAUGGAGUUGAGAAGGUACAAGAAAGAUGAGAAAACAGAAGCAAAGGCAGAAAGAUGCUACAUUGCCAGCUUUGAAGAUGGAGGGAAGAGGUCACAAACCAAGGAAGCAAGACGGCCCUCACCAGAUGCCAGCACCUCCUGUGAUAUUGGACUUUCCAGCCUCCAGAUUCAUGAGAAAUAAA
rnacentral:lncRNA from 10 species